GGGGCAGUGGCCCAGCUUGGAUAAGGCGGCGGCCUCCUAAGCCGCAGAUCGCGGGUUCAAAUCCUGCCUGCUCCG
rnacentral:tRNA from 1 species